AGUUAUCAUCCCCAUAUACCCAUCCCACCCAUAUACUCAGCUCUAAGAAGCUGCUAAUCUACUUUGUCUUUAUAGAUUUGUCCAUUCUGGACAUUUCAUAUUGAUGGAAUCAUACACUAUGUGGUCUCCGUGACCCACUUCUUGCACCUAGCACAUUUUCAAGGUUCAUCCACGUUGCAAUAUGUAUCAGUACUUCAUUCCAUUGUACGGAUACACUACAUUUCAUGUAUCUGUUCAUCAGUUGAUAGAUAUUUGAGUUGUUUCCACCUUUUGGCUAUUAUAACCUUAUGUGAUAUUCCUGUACAAGUUUUGGGUGGACAUAUGUUUUCUCUUGGAUAUACACUUAGGAAAGGUCAAAUGCUAACUAUGUUUAACCUUUUGUGGAACUGCCAGACUGUUUCCAAAGCAAUGGCAUCAUUUUACAUCUCCACCAGCAGUGUAUCAUUGUGACUUCUCCACAGCCUCUGAUGCCUCUUUGAAGGGGAGCGUCUGUGGCAAUUUUCCUGUCCCUGCCUUGCCAUUGCAUGUUGGGUCAGGGGAGGAGAGCAAAUAAUUUGUGCCUUUAGUUCACAGGUAUUUGGUUGAGAACAGCUGCACCAAAAGAGCCUCAUCUGUACCUGGACCUGACAUGAAUGAGCUCCUGGACUCAAGCUAACAUAGCAAUAGAGCAAGACUUGUGGGAGUCUUGGGUGUGGGCGAGUGCAGUGUGCACGUGUGUGAGUGGCCAGAGUGCGCCCUGUAGUAAACUGCUGUUCUGGUGAUCACCUCCAAUGAACCACCCUUGUAGGUAUCCACUCCUUGUGGAGUUCUUUCCCACAUGGACUCUGGGCUGGGCCGAUUACUGCUUGAACCAUCAGACAAUGACAAAAAUGAUGCAGUGCCAGUUGUAGGCCUAGCCCUUAACUGCUUGGGCAGCAUCCUCUUCUUCCAUUUGGAACCCAGAUACCACAAGGCAACCUAAGCCGCCACUGGGUCCCAGCUGAUCUCCCCAACCAAGACUCGGAGGACCACAGCCAUCCCAGCAUCCAGAUGAUACCGCAAAAAAACAGAACCUCCUGGACAACUCAAUUCCCCCCAAGUUUAUGAGACAAUAUGGCUCAAGAGACAGCUACUAUAGAAACAAGUUAUAUUUAUCUACCCAGUUCCUCAACCCACGGGUUCACAGCACUACAAGGAGAUCUCUCGGAGAGCCAACAGCAGGAACAGUAGGGUUAUGAGGAGCAAGUGAGGUCACACACACCAAGUUAUGAGCAAGGCAGCAGCAGUCAACACUGCUGCCCUACUCCUCCAGCAGUGAGAAGGCAGUCGGUUUCACUCGCGCCUGGAUUUCCAAAGCUGUCUAAGUGGAUUUGCUAACUGAUGGGAGUUAACACAAGAACUGAUCCAAGAACUACAAGAAGUAAGUUUAAAACCUACCCACAGAAAAAAUACAGGGUGAGUAAAAGUUUUAGCAACACUUGUUAGUUGCAAUUCACAGUACCUAUGUUGCAUUUUCUUUCUGCUCUCACAGCCUUAAAUAUAGCCCUGGCACAAGUAAGUAUAGGGAGAGCUGAUAAAAAUGACAAUGCCUGGGGCACCUAAGUGGUUCAGUUGGUUGAGCACCUGACUCUUGAUUUUGGGUCAGGUCAUGAUACCAGGGUCAUGGGAUCGAGCCUUGUA